ACAGGGUUGUGACUGGUGUGUUAUAUCAAGAGGAAAACUAAAAAGGUAGAAUGUGAGGAUGUUGCCAAAAACAUGUGUUUAGAGUAAACAGGAAAGUACCUGUUCAUCUCUCUGUCUUCUCCCUGUCUCUGUCUGCUUUUCAAUGUUUAGCAUGUUCAAAUAAAGACCUACAGAUGGAGUUGAGACUGGUGUUGUACAUCAGGUGGAAAACUAAAAAGGUUAGAAUGCGAGGAUGUUGCCAAAAGCAUAUGUUGGAAAUAAACAGGAAAAAGUACCGCCUACAAUGUUGCCUCCAGUGGUUGGCUGUGCGUGUGCUGGGAAUGAGGCCUGAUUGGAGUCAGAUGUGCAGACUGUUCUGAGCUGCAAAUACUAUCACAUGCAGUCAGUUGAAAGCACACAAAAAAUUCAACUCUCUCCAUGAAGUCAAACAAAACAGAAGAGUCCAGAAUUUGUAUCACUCCAUGUCACAUAGUCAACAACCACGGCAAUCAAAACAGACGAGUGAAGUCCCUUCAAUCCAAAACAAAGAGUCUACAGAAGGACUACAUACCACAAAUGUUUUUUACAGAUGCAGGCUGAAACAGAAAAUUCAGCCGGACUGACUGAAACUUUCCAUCCACUCUGUUCUUGUUUUGCGGCCAAUUUUCCUGUUAAAGUGACUUUUUUUUUCUGGUUCUCUCUGGAGAUCUUCUGAAUAAAUGUUUUCAGCUAUUGGCCUUUUAUUUUUAAA